rnacentral:rRNA from 1 species
AACUUUCAACAACGGAUCUCUUGGUUCUCGCAUCGAUGAAGAACGGCAGGCGAAAUGCGAUAAGUAGUGUGAAUUGCAGAAUUCAGUGAAUCAUCGAAUCUUUUGAACGCACAUUGCGCCUUCGGGACUUGUUCCGGAGGCAUGCCUGUUCGAGCGUCAUUAAAAACCACUCAAGCUGCUUUU